rnacentral:misc_RNA from 1 species
GCUUGACCUUUCCUUUAAUAGAAUUGCUGGCAGAUUUCAUGGAUUCGAAAGGGCUGUAAUACUUCUUUACAGAAUCCGUCCGAUUGAGGGAGGUUCGAAGGUAGGGUUUCUUGGUGGAAGAAUCCAUGGAAGGGGAGUGCAAGGUAAGGGAGCGAUUGAAGAAGGAAGACUUAGGUUUUUCCGAAAAUUGCGCACUUCGAUCAAAUUCCGCCAUCGACCAAAAUACGAAUACAAUACUGGGGGAAGAUGAAAUUAAGUGGAAACCCAAUAGAAAUGAAA